rnacentral:lncRNA from 1 species
CUGAGAUGGGUGAAUAGAGGGAGGGGCAGCAGAAAUGCAACGGUCUCAGGGGAAGAAGGAGACUUCCCAAGACUGGGAAGGGAAGGGGAGAGGAGGUGAGGGGGGUCUAUGCCUGGGGAGACCGUUUCCCUAGGGCACUGUCGCCCAGCAGCACUGGCCUCCCCCAGUCUCAGGGACUCCAGGUGCUGCCAAGUUCUCCAGCCUCAGCUCAGCCAGAGGCUGCAGAUCCACCCUGUCUAGGGGUCAGCAGCCUCUGACAAUGAGCACUUAAAGGUAGACAGUGUGAACUGAAGACCAGCCAGCUCCUGGAAUGUUCGUUCCACCUGGGGCAAGACCCUGAGUCUUUACAUUACCUGGAGGCAGUGGGGCAGGACUGGCUGUGUGAUUUGUAAGGCCCAGGGCAGAAUGAAAACGGGGAGCCUCUGGUUCAGAACAAUGGAGGACUUCCAGGCCGGGGCAGCAGAGCCUCACAGCAAGGCGGCACUCUGAGCUCAGGGCCUGUGGGGCUGCCCGGCACUUCCCUGUGGGAAAUCAAGUUUCAUUUGACUUAGAAAAACAGUUAAGUGAUGCCUCCUGCCCUCACUGGGGUGUCCUUUUUACCCCGGGCACUUCUCCUGGGCUCCUGCGCUCCUGGCGCUGAGGUAAGAGGAGACACACGCAACCUUGCUGGCCUGGCCAGGAGGAGCCCACAGCCGUCAUUUCAGACAGAGGAACCUGAGCCGGACGUGAACCUGGGUUCAGACACUGCCGUUGCUGUGGGUGAGCGGCUGUUCUGCCUGUGGAGCAGCAUCGGGUGGGUGGUUGCCUGGCACCGUGACUGUUAGGAGAACUUCUGCAUGGCCGGGGUGUACUUUAUGGGGGGUGCGGCCCCCUGUAAUCGCUCUGCAGUCUGGGCACCCUGUGAUGGGGGCCUGGUCCUCAUCUGCGGCUGCCUCGGCUGGCUCCGAUGUGAGCCAAGUUGGGAUCUUUCCAGAGACCCCUCAAUUCGGGACUUCCUCCAAAGGACACAUCUUCCGACACUGGAAGAAGCUUUCAAAAGAGCUCCCCAAAGGAUCCCAUCCAGGGUGCCGCAUCCCAUUCAGUCGUCAUGUCUCCUAGGCUGCUCUGGUCUGUGACAGUUUCUUACUGUUCCUUGCUUUUGAUGAACUUGACCGCUUUGGGGAGUACAACUCCAAUGUUUUGCGAAAUGCCCUCCGAUCUGAGUAUGUCUGAUGUUUUCAUCAUGGUUAGACCAGGAUGAUGGGUUUCUGUCACGUCGUAUCAGUAGAGGGUACAUGAUACCCACAUGGCCUUGUUUUUACUUUUAAGAAAUUCUGGAAAUGUCAACAAUACUGCAUAUUUCUUAUGGGAUGUGUAUCUGUAUCUCAGCCAUCGUAUGUGGUAAGAUGUUAACAUUGCACUCUCCUGCAAUCUGUCUCACUCAAUCUCAGAGUCGUGGAGGUCCCCACACCAAAGGGACCCCUGUGGUUAACUCUGAGGGAGGGUGGUGGGGACUAGUUAUGGUCCCCUGGAACCUGUGAAUGUGACCGUAUUUGGGAAAAGUGUCUUUGCAAAUAUAGUUUAGGAUCUCAAGAUGAAAUCCCCCUGGAUUCGUGCAGGCCCCAAGUCCAAUGACAAGUGUCCUUAGGAGAGAAGAGAAGAGGAGACACACACAGGAGCAGUCUAUGUGAAGUCGCAGGCAGAGAUUGGAGCAAUGGGGUCGCAAGCCUGGGACAGCUAGAGUCCCCAGAAGCUGGAAGAGCCCAGGAAGGAUCCUCCCCUAUAGCCUCUGGAGGGAGUGUGACUCUGUCUACACCUUCAUUGUGGACUUCUGGCCUCCAGAACUGUGAGAGAAUAAGUUUCAAGCAACGCACUUUUUAGUGACUUGUUACAGUAGACAUGGGAAGCUAAUACAGGCACCAUAAAUUGCUAUUAUUAUUCUUAUUCCACUUGUCCUUCAACCGAAGUGCACAUCCCCAUCUCAGCUGAGUGUAGCACAGCUGGGCUGUGUGCAAAUUCCCCGUGACCAAUGACAGUGCAAUGUUAACAUCUUCCUACACUCAGGGGCCUCUGGCUCUGCCGGCUGCCUUCCUGCAGGCCCUGUCCCUGGCGGGUGUAGCGCCCCCAUCGCUACCUCCCUUGCUACAUGAUCUUUGAGGAAACUUUUCUGACAUCCUGCAAUCUGCCUUGACCAAUUUCCUGGAUGAAAUUAGACCUCGUCACAAACAUUGAACCAUGCAGCUGCCUGAGUUCCUGGAGGCUGUGCCUCCCCCACUGGGUGUUUAGAAAACCGUCAGGCUCGGCCGGGCACGGUGGCUCAU